AGGGCUCCGUUUUCCUUGAGUGGAGGGGAUGAGAGGAAGUUGUUUACAUAAGCUCAUAGAAACAAACCUACAAACCAAGGGACAGCCUUGCUGUAUUCAAAGCCAAACAUUCAAGGACAAACAGGAAAAGGAAGGCACUGGGCGAGAACAAGCGGAAGGGUGGGAUGGGAAUGGUGGUCGGGACUGAAGCCCCCAUUCUCUUCCUGGGGAUCUUCAGGUUUCUGGGGUGGCCGGCCACAAGCUGGGGUCUGAGACCUCCGGAACUACAGGGGGCGCCUGGCGCAGCGGAGCAACCAGUUCCCAGGCGUGGUCGGGGCUGCGCAGUCAUGAUCACCGCCGAGGCCGCCGCUGAGUCCGCCGUCCACACCGCGCCCGAAGCAGAGGCAGCCACAGGAGCCCCAAAGCUCGAGGAGCCGGUGUGGCCCUGGAAAGAUGCCCCGAUACGGGCGCUGGUGCAGCGCAUCUACCAGUUGCAGGCUGAGCGCGCGCAAGCCUUCCGCCGGCUGGAGGAAGGCCACCGCCAGUACCUGCGCAGCGGCCCGCCCUACGACUUCCCGUACUACCGGAGCAAAGUGCACGAGGUGACCCGGUCCUUCGCCGCCGCCUCGCGGGAGGUGCUGGCGGUCGAGGCCGAGUUGGCCGGGCCCCGAGCACAGCCGCUGCUCGCGGGCCACGUGCGCAGCCUGCAGCAGCUGGAACAGACGCGCCUGGCCACGGUGGCCCUUCUGCAACUGAUGGGGUCACCAGAGCUGACUGAGCAAGAGAACACUCUACAGAUACGCCAGCUGAAGAUGAAGUGAGUGCCACCUCCCAGUGGCCUGGCCAUACUAGACUCGCACAUGCGCCAGGUGUGCCCUAGGGCUGGCACUGUCAGACCCUGUGGACCUGCACACACCCUCCUCCAUUUACACACCAGUCCCGCUUACGUGGCUGGAUGUGGAGCUUGGACACGGUCACCCAGGCUCCACCGGGCAUACACCUGCACAUUCUUGCCCUCAACCCUCCCAAGCAUACAUACAUGUAUACCCCCUUGAUGUCUGCCACAGUCACACUGUACACCCUCCUAAUGGCAUACAUCCACCCAAGAUGUCUAUUUCUUUCUGCCCACUGUGACCUAUGGGACCAGUUCUGCUCCCAGGCAUCCAAGUGGUUCUCCCCGCUGCUAGUGCUGCCUGGAGGUUUGGCAGCAGGGUAAUUAAAACCAUGGAUGCCAUCAGCGAGGUUCUCCAGGACCUCAGGUUUGAUGCAGAAUUUGCUGAGUGAUGGCAGCUCCCCAGGGAUGCACGGAGAGAUGGGAAAUGGGGCAGGUGGUGCGGUGCCCAGCCCAGCCCUGACUACCAGCUGGCUGGGGUUGUGCCCUGCCAGGCUGUUGACCCUCCUAGAGGUCUCUGCACCUCCCACAAUAAAGAAUCAUUCAUCCGCA